rnacentral:rRNA from 1 species
AGAGCGAACGCUGGCGGCAGGCCUAACACAUGCAAGUCGAGCGCCCGUAGCAAUACGGGAGCGGCAGACGGGAUAGUAACACGUGGGAACGCGCCCUUCGGUUCGGAAUAACUCAGGGAAACUUGAGCUAAUACCGAAUACGCCCUUACGGGGAAAGAUUUAUUGCCGAAGGAACGGCCCGCGUCCGAUUAGCUAGUUGGUGAGGUAAUGGCUCACCAAGGCGACGAUCGGUAGCUGGUCUGAGAGGAUGACCAGCAUCACUGGGACUGAGACACGGCCCAGACUCCUACGGGAGGCAGCAGUGGGGAAUAUUGGACAAUGGGCGCAAGCCUGAUCCAGCCAUGCCGCGUGGAUGAUGAAGGCCUUAGGGUUGUAAAGUCCUUUUAACGGGAAGAUAAUGACGGUACCGUAGAAUAAGCCCGGCUAACUCGUGCCAGCAGCCGC